rnacentral:rRNA from 1 species
AUACAGAGGGUGCGAGCGUUAAUCGGAAUUACUGGGCGUAAAGCGCGCGUAGGCGGCUUUGUAAGUCGGAUGUGAAAGCCCAGGGCUCAACCCUGGAAUUGCAUUCGAUACUGCAUGGCUAGAGUAUGGUAGAGGGAAGUGGAAUUUCCGGUGUAGCGGUGAAAUGCGUAGAUAUCGGAAGGAACACCAGUGGCGAAGGCGACUUCCUGGGCAAAUACUGACGCUGAGGUGCGAAAGCGUGGGGAGCAAACAGGAUUAGAAACCCCAGUAGUCC